UGGGGGGCCACGAGGCAUGUGAGU
rnacentral:miRNA from 1 species